GAGCCUUUGGGGACAUAUUCAAACCACCACAUUAUGUUCUUCUCCUUUUUCAAAUGGGAGUUUUGGAACCAGCAACAGCCAGACUGGCUCACAGGAGAGCUCCUGGGACUAGUCCUGAUGAAGAAUAGCACUGGCCCUAUUUUUCUGAAGCCAACAGUUAGCAUCUUGAUGAUUUCACAAUCCUUUGUUCAAUUCUUUGACCAGUUUGGUUGUGUUUUACUGUGAUUCACUAAGAAUUUGGGUCUUUUGAAAACAUGGUACGCGGAUGCAGAAUUUUGUCACUGAAUAUUCUACCUAGGCUGAAGCUGAAUGGAGUUGCUGCUGGCAAAAAGGGACUGUUGCCUUCCUGUCAGCUGUGGACUUUUUUCUCAAGUUUAUGGUCGUAGAUGGAAUUUCAAAAGUACAUUUUUCCCAUAGUCACAAUGAGAAGAAACCCUUGAAAAAGGAACUCCUCAAAAGUGAAAAGUAAAGUUUGAUUCAUGCAGCAACGUUUACUGAGCACCUGCCCUCAGAUGAAAUCAUGGAAACACUGAAUGGGGCUUUAAAAGUUCUUCGUUUUUCAAUUUAAAAAUUUUCUAGCAUUCACUUUAAAAGUGUAUGUGGAAAAGGAAAGUCUUUGAAAAUGAAAACUUUUCUAUUUUGUCCUCAAAGUAAUUAAGUACACUAAACGUCAUAAUAUCUAAUCAUUUCCCCAAAUAACACUUUUUAAGUCAUGGGCUAAAUAUUUGUGGAGGAAAUGUGACCUGCUACUAGGAACAAACUAGCAAAUUUGAUUGCUCAGGCCAACAUCACAAGACACAGGCAAACCACCCCUCUGUUAGCUACCAAAAGUAGCAACUGAAAAAAAGAUUUGUAAUGUUAUGGGGUGAAAUUCUGCCUGGUCAUUUUUGAAGUUCUACUUUAAUAUUUCAGUUUAAACUUUCUUCAUCCUUUUGAAAUAAUAGUCAUGGGUUUUGGUUUAAUUAUAGGAGGCAUGGAAUAAUUAACAUAAGCAUUGAAAUAUGAACAUCGACUUCAUCAAGAUUGCUACCUUGCCUUUAAUUUUUUUCAUGAAAAAGCCUGGGCUUAUACAUCUAUCAACAAGCUUUUAAAAUAUAAUCCCAGAAGAUCAACAAAGUGUUGAAAUCACAAAGCACAGAUAACAGAAAACAGUGGACUUACCGAAGAACACAGUUGCUAAGAGUGUGUGACAAAAGGCACAUUUUGGUGACAGCCAGUUUGCUGGUUUUCGGCCUCAGAUUCUUUCUGUGAGCCCUUGACAUAGGUGAAACAAAAAGGGCGUGGGCAUCAAUGUUUAGAGUUAGGAAAGGUGAAAAACAGGCCCUGACAGCACAUCUAAGCACAUGCGUGUACUUAAUAAAUGCAUUUCCCUUUUUAUUCUCAAUAUUUCUAAAAGAGCAUCCACCGCCCUAAGGUUUCUUAACCAAAAUAUUUUACACCAUUGAGUCAGACAUUGUUAAGUGCACUUUAAACAACUUUACUAUUAGCUACUCACUAAAAGUGAAUCUUUGGUGACUUUGAAUUGUUUUCAAGUCAUGAAACCUUAGGGAAAAACUAAAGAGAGACAGACCAGAUCACAGCCUACCUUUUUCAGCCCCGAGAACUCUCUUUCCAAGUAGUUUCUUAAAUAGUGAGGCUACAUCAGAGCUCUUACUCCCUCUGCUUGGAAGUUACUAGAUCAGCAGAAAGACCAACAAUAAUGGCACAUGAAGUCUAAGUUUUGUAUAGGAAACAGACAAGCAGUCUAUACUUGGUUAUUCAAUUGAUAGACAGCUAUGUUGACAGCCCUAACCUUGGAAACCACAGGCCCUGCUGAGCUCAGCAGGAGUGAAAUGCUGAGUACCAUCUGUCAAAGCUUUAUUCACCUCCUUGUCCACGCCUCUGCCAUAAGAUGCUAACAAGAGCACUGAACAGUCACUAACUACUGUUAAACUUGAGGGCACUGUCAUGUAGAUAUUGGAGCAAAAUUCCUCUCUCAGAAUCUAAUGAAUUUGAGUGAACUGAAUUGGGAGUUUUUUCUCAACAAGUUAUUUAGACAGAAGUGUAGGUGGAGGAGCCUACACUUAGGCUCAAUAGUCCUAAUCUGACUAAUAUCUCCGAAUAAGAAAAUUGUAUAUCACUCUGCAUGGUUUUGAAAAUGAAUGUUUUGAAAAGACAUGUUUUAAAAACAUGUACAAAACCAAAAUUUAUUCUUUCAAAAGAGAGAGAAGAUUCUGAUGAGUUAAAUGAUUCCCAGAAGCAGUCUCAUUCAGGGGGCACACUCUCCCUCUCUUGAGCAAUGUCAAGUCUAAAAAUGCAACAGUCUUAAUCGUCAUCAAAUCAAUGAAAUGAGGUGUGGUAUUGCUCAUGCUGAUCCAGUGCAGAAGACGGAAGUGUAGACACGGGAGGGGUAGAAAGGGGACACCUUUCUCCUAAAGGUGUCAACAAGUGUGCCUGUUCAUUGCAGAGCAGUUUUCUUCCGGAUUGCAUUACAAGCUCUUGCAUCUAUAAUGAAUAAUUAUUGAUUUUUAAAACUCCUUAAAUGUAAAGUACCA
ensembl:lncRNA